rnacentral:tRNA from 1 species
GCGCACGUGGCGGAAUUGGUAGACGCGCUAGGUUGAGGGCCUAGUGGCCGUAACAGGCCGUGCAGGUUCAACUCCUGUCGUGCGCA